GUGAUUAUAGAUUAAUCGGUAAAUCCUUUACCUUCCAAGUAAAUAUUGUGGGUUCGAGUCCCACUAGUCACA
rnacentral:tRNA from 1 species